GGCAGGAUAUAAAUUUAAUAAAUGAAUGAAUGAAUAAAUAAAAUACUGCCCUGCAUGUUGAUGAUCCACAAACUACAAGGCUGCACCUGAUUCUUCUUUAUGCAAGCGGUUGUACAAAAUUUGGAGAGAAAAGUCUCUGGACACAGAACUUAUUGUCUCUUCUUGAAAGAUAUUCAGACCUUCCAAAGAACAAAGACAGAGCCACGUUCCUUUUAGAGACAAUUUCAAUGAUGCAUUUAACCACUGAUCACAGAAGGGUAAGACCUAACAAGAACAGGAAGACAGAAAGGAUGAGACUUCACCUUCUGUUUCUUGUGAAUACAGAGAAUUUUGAAGCAGCAACUCUCUGUGCCUGGU